rnacentral:siRNA from 1 species
UGUUUGGAUUUAGUCAGGUGUGGU